AUGUCCUCACAGAAGGGGGGUCCUGACACAGAGCAGAGGCCACGGGACACAGAGGCAGACACAGGAGUGAUCCGGGCACAAGCCAGAGGGACCGGGCCCCCGGGAGCUGGGGGAGCCGGGGUUGGGGGGGGACAGCCCAGCCUGACCUCCGGCCUCCGACUGUUUGACGCCUGCUCUCUGGCUUUGCCUUGGCCCCUGACGGCUCCUGCAGUGGCAGCGGCCCAGUGUCCUGUGGAAACGGCGGGGCCAGAGGCUGGAGCAGGAGCAGGGGCUGGGCCAGGGCCAGGGGCAGGGGCUGGGGUAUCAGCUGGGGCAGGGGCAGGGGCGGGGGCAGGGGCAGGAACAGGGCUGGGGGCAGGGGCUGGGCCAGGGGCAGGGGUAUCAGCUGGGGCAGAGCCAGGCCAGGGGCAGGGGCAGGGACUGAGGCAGGGCCAGGGGCAGGGGCAGGGACUGGGGCAGGGCCAGGGGCUGGGGUUGGGCCAGGGGCAGGGGCAGGGGUAUCAGCUGGGGCAGAGCCAGGGGCUGGGGCAGGGGCUGGGCCAGGGGCAGGGGCAGGGACUGGGGCAGGGGCUGGGGCAGGAGCAGGGCCAGGGCCAGGGGUAUCAGCUGGGGCAGGGGCAGGGACAGGGGCAGGGGCUGGGGCAGGGGCAGGAGCUGGGGCAAGGCCAGAGCCGGGGCCAGGGGUGGGGGCAGGGGCUGGGGCAGGAGCAGGGCCAGGGCCAGGGGUAUCAGCUGGGGCAGGGGCAGGGACAGGGGCAGGGGCUGGGGCAGAGCCAGGGGCUGGGGCAGGAGCAGGGCCAGAGGCAGGGGCAGGGGCUGGGGCAGGGGCAGGGGCAGGGGCAGGGGCAGGGGCAGGAGCUGGGCCAGGGGCAGGAGCUGGGCCAGGGGCAGCUUCCUCCCCGGCGGGUGGGGCCCUUCUCCUUCCUCCGGGGCCUCCGGGCCUCCCUCCCGCUCACCUGGGGAGCAGUGGGGGGACCCCCGUGGGCCGGCAGGAACAGCUGGCGUGGGGAGAUAAGCCGCCUGGUGCACGCCCUGCCCGGAUGGCAGCCAGAUGGAGGCCCCCAAGGCCGGGGCCGGGGAGGAAGCUGCUCCGGGCCUCCCUGCCUCUGA
rnacentral:lncRNA from 1 species